GACGAACGCUGGCGGCGUGCUUAACACAUGCAAGUCGAACGGAAAGGCCCUGCUUUUGUGGGGUGCUCGAGUGGCGAACGGGUGAGUAACACGUGAGUAACCUGCCCUUGACUUUGGGAUAACUUCAGGAAACUGGGGCUAAUACCGGAUAGGAGCUCCUGCUGCAUGGUGGGGGUUGGAACGUUUCGGCGGUUGGGGAUGGACUCGCGGCUUAUCAGCUUGUUGGUGGGGUAGUGGCUUACCAAGGCUUUGACGGGUAGCCGGCCUGAGAGGGUGACCGGCCACAUUGGGACUGAGAUACGGCCCAGACGCCUACGGGAGGCAGCAGGGGGGAAUAUUGCACAAUGGGCGGAAGCCUGAUGCAGCAACGCCGCGUGCGGGAUGACGGCCUUCGGGUUGUAAACCGCUUUCGCCUGUGACGAAGCGUGAGUGACGGUAAUGGGUAAAGAAGCACCGGCUAACUACGUG
rnacentral:rRNA from 1 species